rfam:Picea glauca, whole genome shotgun sequence.
ACAUGCUUACAACAUAGCGUUAAUGCACUGGAUUCUAUUAGAACUUCGCAGUUAAGCAUGCUCGGGCUAGAGUAGUACUGGGAUGGGUGAUCACCCGGGAAGACCUAGUGUUUUACAUGCC